UACGGGGGGGGCAAGCGUUGUUCGGAAUUACUGGGCGUAAAGGGCUCGUAGGUGGCCAACUAAGUCAGACGUGAAAUCCCUCGGCUUAACCGGGGAACUGCGUCUGAUACUGGAUGGCUUGAGUUUGGGAGAGGGAUGCGGAAUUCCAGGUGUAGCGGUGAAAUUCGUAGAUAUUGGGAAGAACACCGGUGGCGAAGGCGGCUCACUGGCUCGUAACUGACGCUCAGGCGCGAUAGCGUGGGGAUCAAACAGG
rnacentral:rRNA from 1 species